GUGCUCACUUCAGUAGCACGUGGACUAAAAUCGGGACCGUACAGAGAUCAGCACGGCCCCUGCUCAAGGGUGACACUCAGCUCCACGAAGUGUUCCAUAUGUUU